AGAGUUUGAUCAUGGCUCAGGACGAACGCUGGCGGCGUGCCUAAUACAUGCAAGUAGAACGCUGAAGAAAGGAGCUUGCUUCUUUUGGAUGAGUUGCGAACGGGUGAGUAACGCAUAGGUAACCUGCCUUGUAGCGGGGGAUAACUAUUGGAAACGAUAGCUAAUACCGCAUAACAGCUUUUGACACAUGUUAGAAGCUUGAAAGAUGCAAUUGCAUCACUACGAGAUGGACCUGCGUUGUAUUAGCUAGUAGGUAGGGUAACGGCCUACCUAGGCGACGAUACAUAGCCGACCUGAGAGGGUGAUCGGCCACACUGGGACUGAGACACGGCCCAGACUCCUACGGGAGGCAGCAGUAGGGAAUCUUCGGCAAUGGGGGCAACCCUGACCGAGCAACGCCGCGUGAGUGAAGAAGGUUUUCGGAUCGUAAAGCUCUGUUGUAAGAGAAGAACGUGUGUGAGAGUGGAAAGUUCACACAGUGACGGUAACUUACCAGAAAGGGACGGCUAACUACGUGCCAGCAGCCGCGGUAAUACGUAGGUCCCGAGCGUUGUCCGGAUUUAUUGGGCGUAAAGCGAGCGCAGGCGGUUUAAUAAGUCUGAAGUUAAAGGCAGUGGCUUAACCAUUGUUCGCUUUGGAAACUGUUAAACUUGAGUGCAGAAGGGGAGAGUGGAAUUCCAUGUGUAGCGGUGAAAUGCGUAGAUAUAUGGAGGAACACCGGCGGCGAAAGCGGCUCUCUGGUCUGUAACUGACGCUGAGGCUCGAAAGCGUGGGGAGCAAACAGGAUUAGAUACCCUGGUAGUCCACGCCGUAAACGAUGAGUGCUAGGUGUUAGGCCCUUUCCGGGGCUUAGUGCCGCAGCUAACGCAUUAAGCACUCCGCCUGGGGAGUACGACCGCAAGGUUGAAACUCAAAGGAAUUGACGG
rnacentral:rRNA from 1 species